rnacentral:rRNA from 1 species
CCGCCCGUCACAUCACGAAAGUGGAUUGUACUAGAAGUCUGUACGCUAACCCGCAAGGGAGGCAGCGGCCCAAGGUAUGAUUCAUGAUUGGGGUGAAGUCGUAAACAAGGUACC